UAGGGAAUCUUCGGCAAUGGGGGGAACCCUGACCGAGCAACGCCGCGUGAGUGAAGAAGGUUUUCGGAUCGUAAAGCUCUGUUGUUAAGGAAGAACGAGUGUGAGAAUGGAAAGUUCAUACUGUGACGGUACUUAACCAGAAAGGGACGGCUAACUACGUGCCAGCAGCCGCGGUAAUACGUAGGUCCCGAGCGUUGUCCGGAUUUAUUGGGCGUAAAGCGAGCGCAGACGGUCAAUUAAGUCUGAUGUGAAAGCCCCCGGCUCAACCGGGGAGGGUCAUUGGAAACUGGUUGACUUGAGUGCAGAAGAGGAGAGUGGAAUUCCAUGUGUAGCGGUGAAAUGCGUAGAUAUAUGGAGGAACACCAGUGGCGAAGGCGACUCUCUGGUCUGUAACUGACGCUGAGGCUCGAAAGCGUGGGUAGCAAACAGG
rnacentral:rRNA from 1 species